rnacentral:misc_RNA from 1 species
CUUUUUUAAAAUUCAAGAACUAAAGUGUUAUAUAAGACAAAACCUUGGGAUCAAAUUGUAAAUUUUCCUAAAAAAAUCACAUGCAUACGUUUAUGCACCUUGUGAAGCUACUAGAUUUGCCAUCUUGAUGCUGGUUUUCACAAUGUCUGUUUCCAAGCCGAACUGGGUCGAACUCAAAGUUGACAGUGUAUUACCUUCUACUUGACUCUGUUACACCCUUCAUUCCUUUAAUGGAAUUCUUGACAAGCAGCUUACCUAUAUGGCCUAUAGUGAAGCAAAAGAAAGUACAUUUUGUUUAACGGAGUUCUUGACAAGCAGCUUACCUAUAUGGCCUAUAGUGAAGCAAAAGAAAGUACAUUUUGUUUA